CCUACGGGAGGCAGCAGUCGAGAAUCAUUCACAAUGGGGGAAACCCUGAUGGUGCGACGCCGCGUGGGGGAAUGAAGGUCUUCGGAUUGUAAACCCCUGUCAUGUGGGAGCAAAUUAAAAAGAUAGUACCACAAGAGGAAGAGACGGCUAACUCUGUGCCAGCAGCCGCGGUAAUACAGAGGUCUCAAGCGUUGUUCGGAAUCACUGGGCGUAAAGAGUGCGGAGGCUGUUUCGUAAGUCGUGUGUGAAAGGCGCGGGCUCAACCCGCGGACUGCACAUGAUACUGCGAGACUAGAGUAAUGGAGGGGGAUCCGGAAUUCUCGGUGUAGCAGUGAAAUGCGUAGAUAUCGAGAGGAACACUCGUGGCGAAGGCGGGUUCCUGGACAUUAACUGACGCUGAGGCACGAAGGCCAGGGGAGCGAAAGGGAUUAGAUACCCCAGUAGUC
rnacentral:rRNA from 1 species